rnacentral:rRNA from 1 species
GACGAACGCUGGCGGCGUGCCUAACACAUGCAAGUCGAGCGGGAACUUGAGGAGGGGGUAACCCACUUCAAGGGAGAGCGGCGAACGGGUGAGUAUCACGUGGGCAACCUGCCCCGGACACCGGGAUAACCCAGGGAAACCUGAGCUAAUACCGGAUACUCCGGUUGGAUCGCAUGGUCCGAUCGGGAAAGCUCCGACGGUCCGGGAUGGGCCCGCGGCCUAUCAGCUUGUUGGUGGGGUAACGGCCUACCAAGGCGACGACGGGUAGCUGGUCUGAGAGGACGGCCAGCCACACUGGGACUGAGACACGGCCCAGACUCCUACGGGAGGCAGCAGUGGGGAAUAUUGCGCUAAUGCGCGAAAGCGUGACGCAGCGACGCCGCGUGGGGAUGAA